AAAAACCGCAUGAAAAAUGUAAAGCGUUAUGUGGAUCGAACAUUAGUAGAGAAGCGUGUGAGCCAGCUGCCAAGAAAAGCCGCUAUUGUUUCAUAAGUACCCGUACCGUAAACCGACACAGGUGGAUGAGGAGAGAAUCCUAAGGCCGGCGGGAGAAGUGUUGUUAAGGAACUCGGCAAAUGACUCCGUAACUUCGGGAGAAGGAGUGCCACAGAGAUGUGGCCGCAGAGAAAUGGCCCAAGCAACUGUUUAGCAAAAACACAGGUCUAUGCAAAACCGAAAGGUGAGGUAUAUGGGCUGACGCCUGCCCGGUGCUGGAAGGUUAAGAGGAGAGGUUAGAGCAAUCGAAGCUUUGAAUUUAAGCCCCAGUAAACGGCGGCCGUAACGAUAACGGUCCUAAGGUAGCGAAAUUCCUUGUCGGGUAAGUUCCGACCCGCACGAAAGGCGUAAUGAUUUGGGCACUGUCUCAACAACACACCCGGUGAAAUUGAAAUACCAGUGAAGAUGCUGGUUACCUGCGCCAGGACGGAAAGACCCCAUGGAGCUUUACUCCAGUUUGAUACUGGGAUUCGGUACUGUCUGUACAGGAUAGGUGGGAGGCUAGGAAAUGGUGACGCCAGUUGCCAUGGAGCCAACCUUGGGAUACCACCCUUACAGUACUGGGUUUCUAACCUGCAGCCGUAACCCGGCUGGGGGACAAUGUCUGACGGGGAGUUUGACUGGGGCGGUCGCCUCCGAAAGAGUAUCGGAGGCGCUCAAAGGUUCCCUCAGAACGGUUGGAAACCGUUCGAAGAGUGCAAAGGCAGAAGGGAGCUUGACUGCGACACCGACGGGUGGAGCAGAUACGAAAGUAGGACUUAGUGAUCCGGUGGUAUAAAGUGGGAUUGCCAUCGCUCAACGGAUAAAAGCUACCCUGGGAUAACAGGCUUAUCACUCCCAAGAAUUCACAUCGACGGAGUGGUUUGGCACCUCGAUGUCGGCUCAUCGCAUCCUGGAGCUGUAGCAGGUUCCAAGGGUUGGGCUGUUCGCCCAUUAAAGCGGUACGCGAGCUGGGUUCAGAACGUCGUGAGACAGUUCGGUCCCUAUCCGGCGUGGGCGUAGGAUAUUUGAGAGGAGCUGUCCUGAGUACGAGAGGACCGGGAUGGACAAACCUCUGGUGUAUCUGUUGUUUUACCAAAGGCAUGGCAGAGUAGCCAAGUUUGGCAGGGAUAAACGCUGAAGGCAUCUAAGCGUGAAGCCCCCCUCAAGAUAAGAUAUCCCAUCUUCGGAGUAAGACCCCUUGAAGACUACAAGGUUGAUAGGCUUCAGGUGUAAGUGUGGUAACGCACUCAGCUGAGAAGUACUAAUAGGUCGAGGACUUAUCAA
rnacentral:rRNA from 1 species